CCUACGGGAGGCAGCAGUGAGGAAUAUUGGUCAAUGGACGCAAGACUGAACCAGCCAUGUCGCGUGCAGGAUGACGGCUCUAUGAGUUGUAAACUGCUUUUAUACGGGGAUAAAAUGCGACACGUGUGUUGUUUUGUAGGUACCGCAUGAAUAAGGACCGGCUAAUUCCGUGCCAGCAGCCGCGGUAAUACGGAGGGUCCAGGCGUUAUCCGGAUUUAUUGGGUUUAACGGGAGCGUAGGCGGUCUGUUAAGUGAGCGGUGAAAUGCCGUGGCUCAACUAUGGCAUUGCGUCGCAGACUGUCCGGCUAGAGAGCAGUGGAGGUAGGCGGAAUGCAUGGUGUAGCGGUGAAAUGCUUAGAGAUCACACAGAACACCGAUUGCGAAGGCAGCUUACGA
rnacentral:rRNA from 1 species